rnacentral:lncRNA from 1 species
UUUUUUCAACUUUCUUUAAUGGGGUUGGCUUGCAGAGAAGUGGAACUGGGUGCUCCCAGACCCUGUGGGCAUUUUGAGAAGCAGGAAGGUGUCAUUUGGGGCAGGGCACCUCCACGUGCACCAGAUAAAAGCCAGCCUUCAGUGAUGAUGGUUGUCUUGCCUUGGUCCCAUUUUGGUUGUGCGCGUGCAUCGGAGGCUGUCUGAAGACAUAAGGAGCAGGAUUUUUGCACAUUUUCAUGUGCCUCCUGCUGACGGCUUACGGACCGUCUGAAAGCCAGAGGAUGUGGGCUGGCAAGACAUCAGGACAGACGGACAGAGCCCCGUGUGGAUGGGAGAGGCGGCAGCACUGCAGGCAGCACAGCGGGUGGGUUGAACUUUACAGCUCUACUGUGGGGAACGCUGGGUGCCUUUUUCUGCAGUCUUUGGGUUCAAAGAGUGGAGCAAGCACACGUGGUACUAACCUUCAGUCCUCUCCCAGCCUCCAGCUAUUUUCAGCCAGAAACCUCCUGAGCCAGCUGUGAUUCCUGUGUCUCCAGCAAUUCUUCAAGGACCUCCCCCUCAUUACCAUGUCCAGGCUCCCUUGAGUCCUUCCAACGUGUUCCUUAGCUGGGUGUCCCACAGAUGCAUCCUCUGCUGCCUGAAGGACCGCCUCCUUUUGCUGGUGUUCAGCAUGGCUCCCGCCAUCUCCUCUUUGUGCCAGAAGACUCUUACAACCUCCCCAAAAUGUGUCUCCUUACCAUGGAGGGGAGCCCCUCCUUGCUCCUCUGGUCUGGGGCAGACAGCCAUGCCUCCUCUGCCGUCGCCCUUGCGUGCUUCACGGGAUGCCCUCUGGUUACCCCAAACCGAUGGUCCCCUUGGCCAUGAGGGGACAGAGAAUGCACCAGGUUGCGGUACUUGGGCAAGCCAUGGAAGUCUACAGUGAUGUUUUCCAUCUUGUUCCUACUUCCCUAAAUGGCUUAAAAUUUACUUUUUGAACACUAGUGAAAACUGAGAGGAAAUUUUCACAGAACUAGCUAUCAUAACCACAAAGUAACCAGUUCCUCAGCAGUAUAAUUAGCCAUGUUUUUUGUGAAGUUGAGAUUUUUCUUCACUUAUUCAUUGCUUUAUAUUUACCUGCAACGUUCUCACAUUAUUGCUCACCUCCUAGUCUAGGCCAUUUACAGGUAUAUUGAUCAGCAUGUCCUAGCACAAAUUACAAGGUAAGUCGGUGUGUUCCUCCACUGCAAACCACAGAUUCCAGAGGGGCUGAGGCCGGCAAGGCCCUCUGGAGCCACCCGGUGCCACCCGUGCCCAAGCAGGGACACCCAGAGCAGGGUGCCCAGCACCACGUCCAGGCGGCUUCUGAAGGGCUCCAAGGAGGAGACCCCACAGCCUCUGGGCAGCCUGUGCCAGGGCUCCGUCACCCGCACAGCACAGAAGGGCUCCUGGUGCUCAGGGGGAGCCUCCUGGGGGCCAGUUUGUGCCCAGGGCCUCCUGUCCUGGCACUGGGCACCACUGGAAAGUCAUGAAGUCAUGUUUCGU